rnacentral:rRNA from 1 species
UACGAAGGGUGCAACCGUUGCUCGGAAUUAUUGGGCGUAAAGCGCACGUAGGCGGCUUAGCAAGUCGGAAGUGAAAGCCCUCGGCUCAACCAAGGAAGUGCUUUCGAAACUGCUGAGCUUGAGUACUUAAGAGGAUCGCGGAAUUCCCGGUGUAGAGGUGAAAUUCGUAGAUAUCGGGAGGAACACCAGUGGCGAAGGCGGCGAUCUGGGAAGAUACUGACGCUGAGGUGCGAAAGCGUGGGGAGCAAACAGG